rnacentral:rRNA from 1 species
GGCAGGCUUAACACAUGCAAGUCGAGCGGUAACAGAAAGUAGCUUGCUAUUUUGCUGACGAGCGGCGGACGGGUGAGUAAUGCCUAGGAAUCUGCCUAGUAGUGGGGGAUAACUUGCCGAAAGGUAAGCUAAUACCGCAUACGUCCUACGGGAGAAAGCAGGGGACCUUAGGGCCAAGCGCUAUUAGAUGAGCCUAGGUCGGAUUAGUUAGUUGGUGAGGUAAUGGCUCACCAAGACCGCGAUCCGUAACUGGUCUGAGAGGAUGAUCAGUCACACUGGAACUGAGACACGGUCCAGACUCCUACGGGAGGCAGCAGUGGGGAAUAUUGGACAAUGGGGGAAACCCUGAUCCAGCCAUGCCGCGUGUGUGAAGAAGGUCUUAGGAUUGUAAGCACUUUAGUUGGGAGGAAGGCAGUUA